rnacentral:tRNA from 1 species
GCGGGCGUGGCGGAAUUGGAAGACGCGCUGGACUUAGAAUCCAGUGGCCCAAAAAGCCGUGUGGGUUCGAAUCCCACCGCCCGCACCA